GAUAGAUUAUGAAUACAUACAUAUACAUGUGAAUGUGUAUGUACAUGUAUAUCUGUAUGUGUAAAAUGUAUAUGGUUUAUUAGAGUGGCUUACAGGUUGGGGUCUCGGUAGUCUAACAAUAUUUAUCUCCCAACCAAAAUGCCAAGAAUCUGGUUGUCAUUCAGCCCAUGAGAUGGAUGUCUCAGCAGCCCCAAUUUAGAAGAUUCCGAAAAAGUUGGUGGUCUUCAGUCUAUGUUAAAAUCCUGAAGAACUAGAUCUAAAGCCAGUGAAGGGCUACUUUAGCAGCAGGGCAGAUGAAGUUCCUAUCAAGAGUGAAGGCAAGCAGGAGAAAAGGAAACGCUUUCUUCUUUCAUUUCCUCUUAUGUGAGCUUCCACCAGUCCCAGAUUUAGAGUGUAUGCAUUUUGCUACCUCAAAAGUGUCAAGCAAAAAACCCCAUCAUAGCACUACUCAGAUGCUUGUUUGUUAGUUUCUUCCAGAAGUUGACAACCAACAUCAGCCAGCACAAGACUCAUUUCAGUGUUCUAGGAAUCUUGGGUGCAGCUGCUCAAGGUGUAGAGUGAGCAGCACUUCUGUGCAUCUCCUAGACAAGGUGAUGCAGCUCCUUCCGACCAAGAAAUGGGUGGUGUUCAUCUGAUAGAAUUCCUUAUAAGACUGCUGCUGGCCCACAGGUCCAUGUACACCAGUACCUAAGGCCAAGAUGGAAGGACAUUUCUCAAAAUAUAAUAGCUUCAAUAUGGAAGAAACCAGGAGAAGUCUGAGACAUCCACAUACCCAAAUCUUUCAAUUGUCUCUUCAGCUUAGGAGCUGGGCUCAUGGACAGUGGCAGUUUGAUGCUCCAAACUAGGAUCAUGCACCAGAUGGACAUUAAAACUGAAAGAUCAAAGAAUGACAUCACUGAAGCUCAAGGUCCAGCAGUGCAAGGCCAGGUGGAUGCCAGAAGGAUGAAGUUAAUGAGAUAUUUUGCUGCUACCAAGCAAGAAGACCAGAGUAAAACUAGAUCCACGUGAAGAAGACUUCUAUCAGCUGGCUGCAAUUUUCCUGGAUUAUCCCAAAAAGCCUGCUUAAAUCCACCUCAUAUUACCACACAAAUCCAUGUUUGUCUGUG
rnacentral:lncRNA from 1 species